rnacentral:pre_miRNA from 1 species
GACCGAGUAAGGUUGAGGUUAGUGGCAACAGCAUGUGUGUGGUUUCCAGGAAACCUUCAGUAAGACUGCUGUUAGCCCUAGCCCCGCACCUUGCCCAGCC